rnacentral:rRNA from 1 species
UACAGAGGGUGCGAGCGUUAAUCGGAAUUACUGGGCGUAAAGCGCGCGUAGGCGGUUUUGUAAGUUGGAUGUGAAAUCCCCGAGCUUAACUUGGGCACUGCAUUCAAAACUGCAAGACUAGAGUAUGGGAGAGGAUGGUAGAAUUCCAGGUGUAGCGGUGAAAUGCGUAGAGAUCUGGAGGAAUACCGAUGGCGAAGGCAGCCAUCUGGCCUAAUACUGACGCUGAGGUGCGAAAGCAUGGGGAGCAAACAGG